rnacentral:rRNA from 1 species
UACGUAGGGUGCGAGCGUUGUCCGGAAUUACUGGGCGUAAAGAGCUCGUAGGCGGUCUGUUGCGUCGGCUGUGAAAACCCGGGGCUCAACCCCGGGCCUGCAGCCGAUACGGGCAGACUAGAGUUCGGCAGGGGAGACUGGAAUUCCUGGUGUAGCGGUGAAAUGCGCAGAUAUCAGGAGGAACACCGGUGGCGAAGGCGGGUCUCUGGGCCGAUACUGACGCUGAGGCGCGAAAGCCAGGGGAGCGAACGGG